CCACAAGGGGGUUUCUUGGCGGCGAGCAGGGCUCUCGCCUCAGAUUUAUUAGUGAGCAUCUCCCCAAACUGUUGUAGUGGAGGAUAGUAGUUGAGGUAUGCAGUUUCUGCAAGCUAGGAACUUUAUCAGAGCGUGGUUUUGGAGGGGAAUAUGUUUCAGG